rnacentral:pre_miRNA from 1 species
CUCUCCCGUGUUUUCCACCUGUAAACAGUUAAACACAUCAUGUGGUACACACGGGAGAGGG